CGUCAUUUGUUAAUGAGAACUAGUUUUGUGUUAUUGAUUUGUUUUUCCAGCUUUUGAGUGUGUUGAAAAGUGGUUUUGUUAAUUGCUUUUGCUUAAGAUUAUGUGACAGUUUAUUGUUUACUUUGGUUUGCAUCUUUAUUAAGUUUCAAAGAUCCAAACUUCUAUUCUUAUUGUCAUGUCUUUAUUAAGUUUCUUUAUUUUUCCUUUUAGAAACUGUCUUCUGGAUUGGGGUUUUUGUCUGAAUUGUACAUUGUCUGAUGCAGGGAUUUCGUGGUAGUGUAACUCCUGAUUAUGUAGGGUUUCAAUUAUGGAACACGUACAGCUAUAUAAGAACACAUGCCUUAUAGCUACUGUUUUGUGUUUGAAUUUGUGUCUCUCGGGUCUCGGCUAUGUUUGUUGCAGGGCCACUCAACUUAUACAAAGAUGAUGCUUUCCACUCAGGAAUGCUAAUGGACCUUCUUUCUUCUUUGUUUCCAUCUGCCUUUAUCAUUGUGGUUUGCUUGGGGAGCCUAUCAAGAUCAUUUAGUUAGUUUCAUUGUGUCUCAAGUUUUGUAUUUUACACAUUUUUUCAAAAUUUUUAACUUUUGGAUCCUCAAUUUUGGAUCUACCAUUGGAGUGUGAAAAAAAUAAAAAACCAACUAAGUGUCUAAAUUUCAAAUUUUACAUUUUUUUCAAUUAUAAAUAUGGUUUGGACUCCCUAAUGGAGUCCAACCAUUAAUCAU